AUUUUUAAUUUUAAAGAAUUUUAAUACAAACUUAAUAUAAACUAUUUCAGUCCCUCUUAACAUGUAAGACACUGACUCAAAAUACUUUUAUACCGUUUUUUUUUCAAGUAUUGCACAAUAUAGGUACAAAAUUAAUAUUUACGAUUACAUUUUCUUCCAUAAUAUAUAGCAAAAAUCUUUAAACCUUUAACAGAAAAUACAUUUUUUUGAAAAAGCAAAUAUUCGUACAUUUUAAUUCCACCACUAAAGGAAUAUCCUGUACACAAUUUUCAGAAUAGUUGAUGUCUUUAAGAUGGAUAUUUUACAAUUUCAGUAAAAAAAAUACAACAUGAAGCCGCUGCCACAGAUCACUGUAGUAAAAAGAUAGAAAUGCAAUACCGUGUCGUAGAAACAAUAUAUAUAUGUAUAUAUAUAUAUAUCCUCUGAUAGUUUACAAACUUUGUACUAAAUUAAAUUAUACAAUUAGAAAAGACCAAUAAACCCACUUAUUAGUGCCAAUUUUUUAUAUAUAUAUAUAAAAAAAAAUCAGCCAUGUCCUUGCUAUAUCUUAAAUACUGUAAGAGGCCAUAUCUGAAAGUAUACUUUAAAAUAUACAGUCAGUAUAAAAUAACAUUGUGCUUGGUUGGCAAAUGAAAAAAGAUGCAUGUUUUAUUUUGUGACCAAGCUUGAAUGUAUCCUUACUAUAAGCUUAAAAAAAAAAUCUCAAGGAGGCAAAAAAAAAAAAAAAAGUCCCCCUUGGGCCGAUGCAUUUUAACUUGUACGACACAUGUUCUCUCUUUUCCUGUUUUUUUAGUUAGCCAUUACGGGCUGGAACUGCUGGUUAGAAUACUGAAUGUUAUUUAAGCUAAAAUUCAAGCCGUCUACGAAAGACUUCUCGUUGAGGCCUCCGUAGGCCGCAAACACAUCAAAGGCAUUACUGUACUGGAGGGGACUGAGGUUAAGGGGGCUGUCACCUGGGAACAUUCCAUUGGUACUACUACCUUGACCCUGCAUGUUAGGAAAAAUAAAUUCCUUGGCAUUGGGAGAAAGAGCAGAGGUUUGCUGCUGCGGCUGCUGCUGCUGCUGUUGCUGCUGCUGCUGCUGCUGCUGCUGCUGCUGCUGCUGCUGCUGUGGAGGUGGUGGCGGCGGUGGUGGCUGGGAUGGCGGCUGCUGCGGCUGCGGCUGAGGCUGCUGCUGGCUGCCCAGGCCCAGCCCGUACAGAGAGUGCAUUGAGGAAGAGAUGGCUUUCUGCUUCAGGAGGUCGUUCACAUUGACAUUCAGGCCCAGGCUGAUGGGAGAAGUGCGUGCUACCUUGCUGCUACGGCCACUGUUCUUCAUUUUGGUGGAGCCAAACUUGGUGGCAGCAAAAGUGGCAGUGGUAAAGGUUAAAGGCUGAGUGGACCGGGGCAUGAAGGUGGGGCUGACGGCAGCAGAAUGGCCAAAGGGAGGCGACGGCGAGCUGGACACAGAGGAGGCUGGGUCGCUUAUGGGCAUGAAAACCUGGGCCUCAGGGUUAAAGCUGUUCUUGAUCUCCUUAUCCAGCUCACACCCGUUCUCAUUACUGUCAUCUACGUACAGCACCUUCACUGGUCCCUUCUCACCGAUUUGGUAGGAAACCUCAAACGGGUCGAUCCACACGCUCAGAUCCUGCGGCAGAUUGCCACGAACAUCGUCAAUGUCCAGACCACUCUCUUUGGACGCUUGCUCGAUCACCGGGUCCACCUUCUCCCCUACGUGUAUGCAUCUAAACCCUGAGCCUUUGUAUGGCUUCUCAGGAUACCAAUGCCCUUCAUAUUUCUGUUUAAGAAGUCUUUCAAGUUCUUCACCAAAAAUGUUGACACGUCUCCUGGGAAGCUUAUUGUACAAAUAGGAAAUAAUAAAAUUUAGUGCUACUUGAAUUUCAAGCUGCAUAGCUGCGAUGCCACAAAAGGUAGGUUUGUUUCAACUCCUCCACCAGAAAAAUAAAAUUUAAAAAAAAAAUCAGUUUGUGGCAGAGAAACAAAUUCUCAUUCAAAGUGCUGGUACUAGAAGAUUAUCCUUCAACCUUCCGUGGUCUUGUUCCUUUAAGAAAACA
rnacentral:lncRNA from 1 species